GACGAACGCUGGCGGCGUGCUUAACACAUGCAAGUCGAACGGAAAGGCCCUGCUUUUGUGGGGUGCUCGAGUGGCGAACGGGUGAGUAACACGUGAGUAACCUGCCCUUGACUUUGGGAUAACUUCAGGAAACUGGGGCUAAUACCGGAUAGGAGCUCCUGCUGCAUGGUGGGGGUUGGAAAGUUUCGGCUGUUGGGGAUGGACUCGCGGCUUAUCAGCUUGUUGGUGGGGUAGUGGCUUACCAAGGCUUUGACGGGUAGCCGGCCUGAGAGGGUGACCGGGCACAUGGGGACUGAGAUACGGCCCAGACGCCUACGGGAGGCAGCAGUGGGGAAUAUUGCACAAUGGGCGGAAGCCUGAGGCAGCAACGCCGCGUGCGGGAUGAAGGCCUUCGGGUUGUAAACCGCUUUCGCCUGUGACGAAGCGGGAGUGACGGUAAUGGGUAAAGAAGCACCGGCUAACUACGUG
rnacentral:rRNA from 1 species